CCUACGGGAGGCAGCAGUGAGGAAUAUUGGUCAAUGGACGAGAGUCUGAACCAGCCAAGUAGCGUGAAGGAUGACUGCCCUAUGGGUUGUAAACUUCUUUUAUAUGGGAAUAAAAUGUUCCACGUGUGGGAUUUUGUAUGUACCAAAUGAAUAAGGAUCGGCUAAAUCCGUGCCAGCAGCCGCGGUAAUACGGAGGAUCCGAGCGUUAUCCGGAUUUAUUGGGUUUAAAGGGAGCGUAGGUGGAUUGUUAAGUCAGUUGUGAAAGUUUGCGGCUCAACCGUAAAAUUGCAGUUGAAACUGGCAGGCUUGAGUACAGUAGAGGUGGGCGGAAGUCGUGGUGUAGCGGUGAAAUGCUUAGAUAUCACGAAGAACUCCGAUUGCGAAGGCAGCUCACUGGACUGCAACUGACACUGAGGCUCGAAAGUGUGGGUAUCAAACAGGAUUAGAUACCCGAGUAGUC
rnacentral:rRNA from 1 species